rnacentral:rRNA from 1 species
UACGAAGGGGGCUAGCGUUGUUCGGAAUUACUGGGCGUAAAGCGCACGUAGGCGGAUAUUUAAGUCAGGGGUGAAAUCCCGCAGCUCAACUGCGGAACUGCCUUUGAUACUGGGUAUCUUGAGUAUGGAAGAGGUAAGUGGAAUUCCGAGUGUAGAGGUGAAAUUCGUAGAUAUUCGGAGGAACACCAGUGGCGAAGGCGGCUUACUGGUCCAUUGCUGACGCUGAGGUGCGAAAGCGUGGGGAGCAAACAGG